rnacentral:snRNA from 1 species
ACACUUACUUAGCAGGGGAGAUACCGUGGUCAUGAAAGGGGCUUUCCCAGGUGGGGCUUGGCCAUUGCACUCCAGGUGUGCUGACCCCUGCCAUUUCCCCAAAUGUGGGAAACCCCACUGCAUACAUAUUUGUGGUAAAGGGAACUGCAUUCGCCCUCUCCCCUG